ensembl:lncRNA
UGUAAACACAAUGUCCGCCAUGUUUCUUUACCGCUUAGCUAGAGAACACAUUUGCAAUGUGAAACAGCCAAAGUGGAUUUUGAAAAUCUAUUGUUGGAUUCGGACAUUCAGGGAUAUUUGUACAGCCAGAAAGAAUUGACAAAAAUAGAGGAGGAGGCUGCUGCGGCUCAGCUGAACAAGCCUUGCCUAUUGCUGAGGACAAGGAGCCGGAGCUCGCCGGUUUGCUCUGUUCGCCUAUAGACACUAAGAGCAUAGAGUCCCUAUGCUGCAGCGAAUUUCAGCGAUGCCAGUUUCUUCUGGAAUAAAUGGAUGAAUCUGGCGAGGACUGGGCCAUGUGUGUAAUCUCUCACCCAGGCUUUACGCCUCAUCUGAACAGUUGGGUAUUUUAUACAUAUUUCCGGACCGAGAAAGUGAACUGGAAACGCCAGCCAAAGCCCGCUGGGAGAAAUAGACUUCUGAGCAUAGAACAGUAUCGGCUUCCUGUGUUGUCCAGGCCAUCAGAGCUAAUUGCCCAGCAUAAGAUGGGCAGUACCGUGGCUACCAGGAGACAGUAGAUGCUCAAGAUGAGCUGUGACUAUUUUUACCCUAGCAAACGCACCCUACCCAUUUGUAAAUAGUUCAUAUUUUUCAUGAAUAAAACUUCAAAUUCA